UGCUUGGUUUGAGGUCAAAUUCUUUUUAUUCCCAGAGAAGACCUUCACCAGACCCUGCCCUUGAAAUUAGGAAUUGCCAUUCCUGUUUCUGAUUCCCGAUGCUCACUAAGCCUUUUUCAGAUAUGAUGCUUCUGCAUUAUGUCCUUCUCGAGGGAGUAUGAAUUUGGAGAGGGACAUCCCUGGGGAGUGUGAUUUCAGUGUCCUCAGGGAACUGGAUUCUGGAGGGGGUCAGAUGAAGGACGUGGAACCCUGAGGAGUUGGGACCUGGCAGACACACCUGGGAAGACAGCCAUCAGGCAGGAGAGGAACUGCCCUAGUCCCCUUGGGACUGUCACUCUCAUCUUCCAUGGAUACGUGGGUCGAGCACAGAAUGAGCUUGGAAAAAGUUGACUGAAGAAGGAGCUUCAAGGAUGGAAGAGAACACAGAGGUCCAGUUCUGGUCUACCAUGGGCUACAAGGAGAGUCCUGUCACUUGGGCAAAAUAUGCUGGUCAACUCCAUCAUCUGUAAAAUAGAAAAGGAAUCUCCCAUGAAGAGACACUUGGACCCAGAAAUAGGCGCCGAAAGAGAAAUUUCUUCCUUAAAAAAUAUUAACUGCUAUUUCCCUGGCAUCGACCAUGUGUUGGGCACAUUACAUAUGCUUCCUGUGUCUGAAUAUAUCCAUCCCAAAGCAUCUUUCUACUCUACCAUACUAUGUCAAUACCAGUGACUCUGAGAUCUCAGCUCCAGUCCACCCAGAGAAAGAGCGAGACAAAG